CCCCUCUCAGGGUCAUACCUGGAGAGUUUCCAGUAUCCUUCCAGUCUCAACUAUGGGAGGGAGAGUCAAGCAGAGGCCUUCCCAUUCCAUUCCUAGUUUGGACAGUGGCUAGUGAGUGGAAGGCAAUGUGCUACAAGU
rfam:Ornithorhynchus anatinus chromosome 7, whole genome shotgun sequence.